AAUCCAUAGGUUAAUGAGGCGAACCGGGGGAACUGAAACAUCUAAGUACCCCGAGGAAAAGAAAUCAACCGAGAUUCCCCCAGUAGCGGCGAGCGAACGGGGAGGAGCCCAGAGCCUGAAUCAGCAUGUGUGUUAGUGGAAGCGUCUGGAAAGGCGCGCGAUACAGGGUGACAGCCCCGUACACAAAAGCGCAUGUGCUGUGAGCUCGAUGAGUAGGGCGGGACACGUGGUAUCCUGUCUGAAUAUGGGGGGACCAUCCUCCAAGGCUAAAUACUCCUGACUGACCGAUAGUGAACCAGUACCGUGAGGGAAAGGCGAAAAGAACCCCGGCGAGGGGAGUGAAAAAGAACCUGAAACCGUGUACGUACAAGCAGUGGGAGCACAGGUUUACCUGUGUGACUGCGUACCUUUUGUAUAAUGGGUCAGCGACUUAUAUUCUGUAGCAAGGUUAACCGUAUAGGGGAGCCGGAGGGAAACCGAGUCUUAACCGGGCGUUAAGUUGCAGGGUAUAGACCCGAAACCCGGUGAUCUAGCCAUGGGCAGGUUGAAGGUUGGGUAACACUAACUGGAGGACCGAACCGACUAAUGUUGAAAAAUUAGCGGAUGACCUGUGGCUGGGGGUGAAAGGCCAAUCAAACCGGGAGAUAGCUGGUUCUCCCCGAAAGCUAUUUAGGUAGCGCCUCGUGAAUUCAUCUCCGGGGGUAGAGCACUGUUUCGGCUAGGGGGCCAUCCCGGCUUACCAACCCGAUGCAAACUGCGAAUACCGGAGAAUGUUAUCACGGGAGACACACGGCGGGUGCUAACGUCCGUCGUGAAGAGGGAAACAACCCAGACCGCCAGCUAAGGUCCCAAAGUCAUGGUUAAGUGGGAAACGAUGUGGGAAGGCCCAGACAGCCAGGAUGUUGGCUUAGAAGCAGCCAUCAUUUAAAGAAAGCGUAAUAGCUCACUGGUCGAGUCGGCCUGCGCGGAAGAUGUAACGGGGCUAAACCAUG
rnacentral:rRNA from 1 species